rnacentral:rRNA from 1 species
UCAAGUGAAUAAGUGCAUCAGGCGGAUGCCUUGGCGAUGAUAGGCGACGAAGGACGUGUAAGCCUGCGAAAAGCGCGGGGGAGCUGGCAAUAAAGCUAUGAUUCCGCGAUGUCCGAAUGGGGAAACCCACUGCAUUCUGUGCAGUAUCCUAAGUUGAAUACAUAGGCUUAGAGAAGCGAACCCGGAGAACUGAACCAUCUAAGUACCCGGAGGAAAAGAAAUCAACCGAGAUUCCGCAAGUAGUGGCGAGCGAACGCGGAGGAGCCUGUACGUAAUAACUGUCGAGAUAGAAGAACAAGCUGGGAAGCUUGACCAUAGCGGGUGACAGUCCCGUAUUCGAAAUCUCAACAGCGGUACUAAGCGUACGAAAAGUAGGGCGGGACACGUGAAAUCCUGUCUGAAUAUGGGGGGACCAUCCUCCAAGGCUAAAUACUCAUCAUCGACCGAUAGUGAACCAGUACCGUGAGGGAAAGGCGAAAAGAACCCCGGGAGGGGAGUGAAACAGAACCUGAAACCUGAUGCAUACAAACAGUGGGAGCGCCCUAGUGGUGUGACUGCGUACCUUUUGUAUAAUGGGUCAACGACUUACAUUCAGUAGCGAGCUUAACCGGAUAGGGGAGGCGUAGGGAAACCGAGUCUUAAUAGGGCGAUGAGUUGCUGGGUGUAGACCCGAAACCGAGUGAUCUAUCCAUGGUCAGGUUGAAGGUGCCGUAACAGGUACUGGAGGACCGAACCCACGCAUGUUGCAAAAUGCGGGGAUGAGCUGUGGGUAGGGGUGAAAGGCUAAACAAACUCGGAGAUAGCUGGUUCUCCCCGAAAACUAUUUAGGUAGUGCCUCGAGCAAGACACUGAUGGGGGUAAAGCACUGUUAUGGCUAGGGGGUUAUUGCAACUUACCAACCCAUGGCAAACUCAGAAUACCAUCAAGUGGUUCCUCGGGAGACAGACAGCGGGUGCUAACGUCCGUUGUCAAGAGGGAAACAACCCAGACCGCCGGCUAAGGUCCCAAAUGAUAGAUUAAGUGGUAAACGAAGUGGGAAGGCACAGACAGCCAGGAUGUUGGCUUAGAAGCAGCCAUCAUUUAAAGAAAAGCGUAAUAGCUCACUGGUCGAGUCGUCCUGCGCGGAAGAUGUAACGGGGCUCAAAUCUAUAACCGAAGCUGCGGAUGCCGGUUUACCGGCAUGGUAGGGGAGCGUUCUGUAGGCUGAUGAAGGUGCAUUGUAAAGUGUGCUGGAGGUAUCAGAAGUGCGAAUGUUGACAUGAGUAGCGAUAAAGCGGGUGAAAAGCCCGCUCGCCGAAAGCCCAAGGUUUCCUACGCAACGUUCAUCGGCGUAGGGUAAGUCGGCCCCUAAGGCGAGGCAGAAAUGCGUAGUCGAUGGGAAACAGGUUAAUAUUCCUGUACUUGAUUCAAAUGCGAUGUGGGGACGGAGAAGGUUAGGUUGGCAAGCUGUUGGAAUAGCUUGUUUAAGCCGGUAGGUGGAAGACUUAGGCAAAUCCGGGUUUUCUUAACACCGAGAAGUGAUGACGAGUGUCUACGGACACGAAGCAACCGAUACCACGCUUCCAGGAAAAGCCACUAAGCUUCAGUUUGAAUCGAACCGUACCGCAAACCGACACAGGUGGGUAGGAUGAGAAUUCUAAGGCGCUUGAGAGAACUCGGGAGAAGGAACUCGGCAAAUUGAUACCGUAACUUCGGGAGAAGGUAUGCCCUCUAAGGUUAAGGACUUGCUCCGUAAGCCCCGGAGGGUCGCAGAGAAUAGGUGGCUGCGACUGUUUAUUAAAAACACAGCACUCUGCCAACACGAAAGUGGACGUAUAGGGUGUGACGCCUGCCCGGUGCCGGAAGGUUAAUUGAAGAUGUGCAAGCAUCGGAUCGAAGCCCCGGUAAACGGCGGCCGUAACUAUAACGGUCCUAAGGUAGCGAAAUUCCUUGUCGGGUAAGUUCCGACCCGCACGAAUGGCGUAACGAUGGCCACACUGUCUCCUCCCGAGACUCAGCGAAGUUGAAGUGGUUGUGAAGAUGCAAUCUACCCGCUGCUAGACGGAAAGACCCCGUGAACCUUUACUGUAGCUUUGCAUUGGACUUUGAAGUCACUUGUGUAGGAUAGGUGGGAGGCUUGGAAGCAGAGACGCCAGUCUCUGUGGAGUCGUCCUUGAAAUACCACCCUGGUGUCUUUGAGGUUCUAACCCAGACCCGUCAUCCGGGUCGGGGACCGUGCAUGGUAGGCAGUUUGACUGGGGCGGUCUCCUCCCAAAGCGUAACGGAGGAGUUCGAAGGUUACCUAGGUCCGGUCGGAAAUCGGACUGAUAGUGCAAUGGCAAAAGGUAGCUUAACUGCGAGACCGACAAGUCGGGCAGGUGCGAAAGCAGGACAUAGUGAUCCGGUGGUUCUGUAUGGAAGGGCCAUCGCUCAACGGAUAAAAGGUACUCCGGGGAUAACAGGCUGAUUCCGCCCAAGAGUUCAUAUCGACGGCGGAGUUUGGCACCUCGAUGUCGGCUCAUCACAUCCUGGGGCUGUAGUCGGUCCCAAGGGUAUGGCUGUUCGCCAUUUAAAGUGGUACGUGAGCUGGGUUUAAAACGUCGUGAGACAGUUUGGUCCCUAUCUGCAGUGGGCGUUGGAAGUUUGACGGGGGCUGCUCCUAGUACGAGAGGACCGGAGUGGACGAACCUCUGGUGUACCGGUUGUAACGCCAGUUGCAUAGCCGGGUAGCUAAGUUCGGAAGAGAUAAGCGCUGAAAGCAUCUAAGCGCGAAACUCGCCUGAAGAUGAGACUUCCCUUGCGGUUUAACCGCACUAAAGGGUCGUUCGAGACCAGGACGUUGAUAGGUGGGGUGUGGAAGCGCGGUAACGCGUGAAGCUAACCCAUACUAAUUGCCCGUGAGGCUUGACUCU